rnacentral:lncRNA from 1 species
UUUUGAAAAUUCUUCAAUUUCCUCAAUUUAACUGCACUCGGCACUCGGGCUGCAUGAAAAGUCCAUGAAGGGUACUCCCUGGGAGUUCGGUAAUCGGACUGCAUGGAAAGUCUAUGAUAGGUACCUCGUAGGAGUUGGUCAGAGUUCGUUUCUUUGACUGCCUGUUUGUUCCUUCUGUUUCUUUUUAGUUAGUUUUCGUUUUUAUUUUUUGGGGCGGUUAAUUUGAAAACUGUUGAUAAUUUUUUACAGGUUGUGGAGUUUAUGUUUUGGGGACGUUCUCCUGAACCUGAGAUUUGAAGCGAAAUUACCCUGGUGUUCAUCAUUCCUGCGAUUUACACCCAGUCAUGCUUAAUUGUGUUGACUAAGACGGCUCAAAGUGGGCGUCAGUCUCUGCAGUAAACCGGUAUUAGUAAGUAUUCCACAUCCGUAGACAUUCUAUGAAUCUUCAGUAGAAAUAAUAUCAACAGCUAUAGUCUGUCAGUUGACUCUGAUUACACCUCCUGGGGCUGGUGCGAAAAAAUUGCACAGGUUUUAUUGUAUGAGAGAUUACUGUGGUUUCAUUGAGUGGUUUAAGUAUCUAGUAAGUGUUGAGGAUUAGAUUUUUUAAGGAUAGAAGGACAAGGGAAACAUUGAGCACAAAACUGAAUCCUCCUUGCAUUUUAUUCUGGCCUAUCUUCUUACCUUUUAAAUCCAGAAGCAAAUUUUGAAAAUUCUUCAAUUUCCUCAAUUUAAUGAGCCUUUAUCUUCAAUUUUGUGUACUUAGGCAGGUAUUCUUUUCAGUCUCUCAGUCUCUUCCAAAGAUCCAUUUUUUGAGAGUGGUUGCUUUUGACAGUGUUAUCAGUGAUUCCAAGCUCAUGUAAUGUUUAAUAAUUGUUGGGUAAAUUAAAAAUGUAUCUAUCUAUCUAUCUAUCUAUCUAUCUAUCUAUCUAUCUAUCUAUCUAUUCAUUUAUUUAUAGGUGCACAAUGGUCACUUGUUGUGUUAAAGGCUGCACCAGUCGCACAUCAACAUCGGGCCCGAAGAUUCCCAAUAUCUCUUUUUAUCGAUUUCCAACAGAUCCUGUUUUGCGGAAAAGGUGGUUAAACAGGAUUAAUCGCAAAGAUUUUUCACCAACCAUUCACUCCAGGGUAUGUUCCCGGCACUUCCAGCUUAAUUCAGCGGUUCCGUCUAUAUUUCCAAAAGGCACACAUAUACCUAAGGGAUUGCUGCUAAUCAAGUUUUUGCACCACGAUCUUCGUACGAGGAUGCAAAAGCAGUUGGCUGUUUGGUCAAAUGUAGCAGAUUUGAACUGUCAAGUUGAGAAUUUUGUAAUUAUUUGUAAGUUAAAUGUUUGUAAAAUAUAGGAGCAGAGGCUUCAUCAUUAUCUGGAUUGCAUUUUGCAAAAAGGAACCAAGGGCAUUUCAAUGUUCCUUGGAUUGUGCAACUUACAUUCUGUGCAAUAAAAUCACUGGAAUCAUACAAAAAAAUCAAAUAUACUAAGGGAAUUUUCAUCUUGAAUCUAUAGUUUAUUGGGAGUAAAGAUAAAAUUGUUUUAUAUGAUUAGUUUAUAUUUACAAGAUAAAAGAAGUUGCUGAAUCUUAGCGAUAUCAGAAUGCUCUUGGUUCCUUUUCGCAAAAUGCAAUCCAUCUAUGCCAUAUUUUUGAGAGUAUCUCAUCCAAGCGAGAAAAUUCUCAUCAAUUGAAUCGUUGAUUAAUUUUAGAGUGACGGGUGGAUCAUGUCAAGAAAUUUGAUCUGAGUUCCUUGGAGCAGAAUCAGUUCUGUCCUUUUUUUUUUAGAUAUAUUUAUUUAUCUAAUAAUGUUUUUGCAUAAAUAUUGCAAAUAUUUACAUGGGUUUGGCCGUUAGAGUCCUGCUCAAAAGUAUCAUCACGUAAUAUUUUCUCAUUGUUAGAGGUUACAAAUUUUUUUGUGAUGACCUAAUAUGUACGGAAAUCAUUCUCAAGGUUUAAUACAUGCUAACCGAUCAAACAUUUUCCACGCUCAUUGGAGUAAAUUAAUUUGUACCCUUUUUAUUGUUCUGCGUAGCCGUUAAAAUACAUCGGCUUAUUGUUGACAUCUAACUCUAGUCUCAAACGAAUUUCCUGAGUAUUUUGAUCUCAACUCUCUUCCUAUCCUUUCUAUUUUUAUGAGGAUUCUUUUCUAAGUUAUGUAGGUACUUUAUUUUUAUUGGAAUCUUCCUUUUCCUCAUUAGGAAAGCUCUGAAGUUAUGACUUCCAAAGUCCAACUUGAAGGAAUGUGCUGAGCUAUCGCCUUCUAUCAGACUAAAAAAGACAGUCUCGUUAGGCUUCUCUUUGUAGCCUGUUCACUUGUAUCAUUUCUCAUCUCUCAUCAUGUUUAAAUUAUGUUUUUUUGUGCAAUAAACUUGCUCUUUUUUCACUCUCCUCAAGUUAUUCUCUUCUCAUGCAUUCCUACUGGAACUUGAUAUUUUGAACAUCAAAUUAUGGAGUCAGAGACAUACACAAAAAUAGCCAGAAUAAUUUUAGGAAAAACAAAAUAGUUAAAUGGGUAACCAAAAAAAAUGAAAACUCCAGCCCUAGAGGGUUUUAAUUUUUUUGGUAAUUUUAUAUUUUUGUAGGCCUGGUUGAUAAAGGGGUUGAGACCACCCGGAAACGCCCUCCUAGGCAUUUAUGUAUUAUGUUUGUCUCUAGCCAUGGAUGCCCACUUUAUUUUGUUUUUCAUUCAAUUAUGUGGUAAGUUGAUAGAAAUAAAAAUAAUUACCUAGGUUUAUUUUUAAUCUAACAGAAGUUAUUCAUUCUGCAACAAGUAGUGUAGGUAUAAUAUUUUAAGUCAUGUACAUAAAAAGUAUAUUAUUAAUAUAAAUCUUCAAUGAUAAUUUUUUAAUAACAUUAAUCAGGGGUGUAGAAAAAAUGUUUCAAAAUUCUGUACUCCUUGUCGGAGGCAUACUGAUCCAAAAAAGCAACAUCGCCACACGGUCAAUUCAGUAUGAAAUUAUUGCAUUCAUUUCCUCAUUCACUCGAUUUAUUCUUCGUGUUUUUUGCAACCCUACUUGAAAUUUUCUCAAGCUCCAACUAAUUUACAGCCUAAUCUCUCAAGUACAUAGAGAAUUUUUUUUGGAAUUCUGUGAUUUCUGAAAGGUCAAAACUAAUACCUAGAAGACUGUCCGAAUUUUAAUAAGAUAUUUUUGUGGUGGCAAAUACCUAAGUAUAGUUCCUAAUCUUUGGAAAAGUUAUCUAAUAUCAAUCAAAGUCUGAAUCUGAUGAAGUCUACCACAUUUUGCAUCCUUCCUAGCGCUGAUGGAGAGAAAGGGAUUAAUUAAAAUGAAUUUUAGAUCGUCCUUUAACCCUUACUGUGGCUGUGCUUCAUAUGCAAACGGACAAAGAGAAUUAGGAUCCUUAUGCUUGUUUCUUAGAAUGAUUAAAGAUGUCGGUCCAUACUUGAUAGGCCCAGUUCAUACAGGCAAUCAGUAACAAUUUUGCAUAAAUUGACUAAUUGAGAUACUUAAGUAGAUAAUGCUCUUAUUGAGGAAUGAUACUUUAUUUAAAACAAAAAUUUAAAAAAAAACAACUUUAAUCGGGACUAAGGCCGCAAAUAAUUAAAAGAAUACAUCAAAUAAAAUAAAAAGCCUGGGAGGUUUCGCAGGGAUUACACCCGCAUUUUCAACCGGCAAAA